GACGAACGCUGGCGGCGUGCCUAACACAUGCAAGUCGAACGGAGUAAGAGACUUCGGUUUUUUACUUAGUGGCGAACGGGUGAGUAACGCGUGAGAAACCUACCUUUCAGUGGGGGACAACAGUUGGAAACGACUGCUAAUACCGCAUAAUGUCAUUUGAGGGCAUCCUCGAAUGACCAAAGCUUUAUGUGCUGAAAGAUGGUCUCGCGUCUGAUUAGCUAGAUGGCGGGGUAACGGCCCACCAUGGCGACGAUCAGUAGCCGGUCUGAGAGGAUGAACGGCCACAUUGGGACUGAGAUACGGCCCAG
rnacentral:rRNA from 1 species